rnacentral:lncRNA from 1 species
GAGAAAUGUCAUCCUUGUUAAAAUAGUUGGACACGGCGUAUGAGUCUGCAUUGUGCAGAUCGAAGACUGAAGUUGACAGACUGUUCGGUGAGCCUUGUGAUCUGCUUAAUUGCAAGUUGUUUGGUUGCAUCUCAGCGUCAUCGACAGUGUAAAGUGGAGAUUCGGGGGCAUAUAUCAUUGCAUUCUCAGGAGAAGUGCACCAUGUUAGACUCUUGUUGUGGCAUGAUCUACCCAACAAAAGAAUGCGUUAGGAUGGCAAUACUCGGCAGUAUAACAGAUGAAGUCGAAUGCAGUAGUACCUUUCAUGGAGUUUACUUGACAAGAAAUCUGCAUUAAUAGGCAUAAUCUUUGCUGACCUCCCUUUGUCAUGUAGAGCUGCCUGCUUCAGAUGAAUUAAAUGCCAUUAAACUCUAAGGGCUGCGCCAGCAUAUCUAAAAUUUUGCAGUUAAGGUACAAAUUCUGUUGCCCCACAUACUAAUGUUACAAAGUUCCGCUUACAAUUGCAGGAAAGGAUUUCACUUAUUUUUGUUGGAUAACAGUUGUGCUAUUUUUAGUACUGUUGGUGUCUUAACAUCUUGGUCUCCUUAGGCUUUUAUAUUUUCUCACAAACAAAAAUGUUGGACAACAUUCAAAUAAGGGAUAGCUGUUCUUUUGAUAAUGAUCUGAUAGCACAGUACUUGUUCGGAAAAAAAUGCGAACACAGAACUCUCUUCGCCAUUACAAUUUGCAAUGAGUGGUAGGAUUUGCAUGUCUUACCUCGCUGUCGCUUGCUUCGCUAGAAUCAACAUGCGAGUAGAAUGAAACCGGGGAGUCGGACUGGGCCUCCUCGAGCAUCUCAUGGAGGCACCUGCUGUCAGAGCUCCCCUUGGCAUCUUCCU